UACGGGGGAUGCAAGCGUUAUUCGGAAUUAUUGGGCGUAAAGCGUCUGUAGGUUGUUUGCUAAGUCUGUUGUUAAAGGCUAGAGCUUAACUCUAAGAAGACAAUGGAUACUUGCAGGCUAGAGUAUGGUAGGGGUAGAGGGAAUUUCUAGUGUAGCGGUGAAAUGCGUAGAUAUUAGAAAGAACACCAGUGACGAAAGUGCUCUACUGGAACAUUACUGACACUCAGAGACGAAAGCCAGGGGAGCAAAAGGG
rnacentral:rRNA from 1 species